rnacentral:lncRNA from 1 species
AUGCAGCUUGACUUUGCCAUCAUUAUUGGCUAUUGGGUUUGCUUGUGUUUCCUUUUCCUUUGUCUCUCCAUCUCUCUUUUGAUUCCUCUUUUUUUUAUGCUUUUCCUUUUUGUCGGUUUGAAUGCCACAUAGUUGUCCUUUUUAUUAUUAAUUUUCUUCUGUGGGUUCUGUGCAAUGCACCCCAAAAAAGUAACGAACGAACAACUCUUUGUCAAACAUUUUUGUGAUGUUUU